rnacentral:rRNA from 1 species
AUUGAACGCUAGCGGGAUGCUUUACACAUGCCAGUCGAACGGCAGCGCGGACUUCGGUCUGGCGGCGAGUGGCGAACGGGUGAGUAAUGUAUCGGAACGUGCCCAGUAGCGGGGGAUAACUACGCGAAAGCGUAGCUAAUACCGCAUACGCCCUACGGGGGAAAGCAGGGGAUCGUAAGACCUUGCACUAUUGGAGCGGCCGAUAUCGGAUUAGCUAGUUGGUGAGGUAACGGCUCACCAAGGCGACGAUCCGUAGCUGGUUUGAGAGGACGACCAGCCACACUGGGACUGAGACACGGCCCAGACUCCUACGGGAGGCAGCAGUGGGGAAUUUUGGACAAUGGGGGCAACCCUGAUCCAGCCAUCCCGCGUGUGCGAUGAAGGCCUUCGGGUUGUAAAGCACUUUUGGCAGGAAAGAAACGUCGCGGGCUAAUACCCCGUGGAACUAACGGUACCUGCAGAAUAAGCACCGGCUAACUACGUG